rnacentral:misc_RNA from 1 species
GAUGAAGAACGUAGCGAAAUGCGAUACGUAGUGUGAAUUGCAGAAUUCAGUGAAUCCUCGAAUCUUUGAACGCACAUUGCACCUCUCGGUAUUCCGGGAGGUAUGCCUGUUCGAGCGUCAUUUGUACCCUCAAGCUCUGCUUGGUGUUGGGUGUUUGUUCCGCCUCUGUGUGUGAACUCGCCUCAAAACAAUUGGCAGCCGGCGUACUUGUUUCGGAGCGCAGCACAUUUUGCGAUCCAGAUCAACGUACAGCGGCAUCCAAGAAGCCUUAUUUAACGCUCUUGACCUCGGAUCAGGUAGGGAUACCCGCUGAACUUAAGCAUAUCAAUAAGCGGAGGA